rnacentral:lncRNA from 1 species
GGUCUGUCUGUGGGGUCCUGUGCUGGGCUCCAUCUGUGGGGUCCCCAAUGCUGGAGUCCAGUUGUGGGGUCCCCAGUGAUGAGGUCCAUCUGUGGGGUCCUUGAUGAUGGGAUCCGUCUGUGGGGUUCCCAAUGAUGGGGUCCAGUUGUGGGGUCCUUGAUGAUGGGGUCCAUCUGUGGGGUCCUUGAUGAUGGGAUCUGUCUGUGGGGUCCCUGAUGAUGGGGUCCAUCUGUGGGGUCCCCACCCGCCGCCCCCACCCCACAGGGUCCCCAUGUUGGCGGCCGCCCUGCUGCUCCUCGUGGCCACCGCUGCGGCCGAUGCAUCAACAAGCGCAGCGCUGCACGCCGUGACGUCGUCGGAGGGGCAGAGCUCAGAACCCAUCGGCCCCGCUAAGCUGGAGGCAUCCGGAGAGAGUGACCUCAGCACCUCAGGGCAGCGCGUGGGCACAGGUGUCACCGCCGUCGGCUUUGAGCCCCCGGAGCCCCCCGGCAGCGACUCCUCUUCCUCUUCCUCCUCCUCCUCCUCCUCCAUGGACGGCCCCAACAGCGCUGGGGAAGCGCGGGGCGG